CAGUCGCCGCGGGAAUACGGAGGGUGCAAGCGUUAAUCGGAAUUACUGGGCGUAAAGCGCACGCAGGCGGUCUGUCAAGUCAGAUGUGAAAUCCCCGGGCUUAACCUGGGAACUGCAUUUGAAACUGGCAGGCUAGAGUCUUGUAGAGGGGGGUAGAAUUCCAGGUGUAGCGGUGAAAUGCGUAGAGAUCUGGAGGAAUACCGGUGGCGAAGGCGGCCCCCUGGACAAAGACUGACGCUCAGGUGCGAAAGCGUGGGGAGCAAACAGGAUUAGAGACCCCUGUAGUCCCUGUCUCUUAUAC
rnacentral:rRNA from 1 species